UUACGGCCACAUCACGUUGAAAUGCCGGCUUCUAUACAAUCACCAAAAUUAAGCAACGUCGAGUCUGGUUAGUACCUAGAUGGGUGACCGCUUGGGAAUACCGGGUGCUGUAA